rnacentral:misc_RNA from 1 species
AGUCGUAACAAGGUAUCCGUAGGUGAACCUGCGGAUGGAUCAUUUCCACUAUCAAAAAAAAGAGGGCCUUGGAGUGUCUGUUUGGCGGAACAAGCGAGAAGUGCUUUAUUGAACUCUUGUUUGUUUCGCUAUCAAGGACAGCAUUUUGAGUGUUCUCUUUUUUUUUCAAUUACAAACCAAAUAACGUGAAUUGAAAUUGUACAUGACAUUUUUACAAACCAAAAAGUUGCGAAUUUUGAGCAUUCGUGUUCAAUGCAAAACUUUUUCGGAUUGAAACAAAUAGAAUUGGUCUUGAUAAUAAAACAACAUAACCAAAAACAACUCUUAACAACGGAUGUCUUGGUUCUC